rnacentral:rRNA from 1 species
GGGUUGUAGGACACUCUAUACGGAGUUACAAAAGAAAGUUAUAAAUGAAGCGGUCUGGAAAGGCCCGCCAAAGACGGUAACAGCCCGGUAGUUGAAAUAGCUUUCCCUCCAGAGUGGAUCCUGAGUACGGCGGAACACGUGAAAUUCCGUCGGAAUCCGGGAGGACCAUCUCCCAAGGCUAAAUACUCCCUAGUGACCGAUAGUGAACCAGUACCGUGAGGGAAAGGUGAAAAGCACCCCGGAAGGGGAGUGAAACAGUUCCUGAAACCGUGUGCCUACAAGUAGUUAGAGCCCGUUAAUGGGUGAUAGCGUGCCUUUUGUAGAAUGAACCGGCGAGUUACGAUUUGUUGCAAGGUUAAGCGGAAAAAGCGGAGCCGUAGCGAAAGCGAGUCUGAAUAGGGCGCAUAAGUAACAGGUCGUAGACCCGAAACCAGGUGAUCUACCCAUGUCCAGGAUGAAGGUAAGGUAAUACUUACUGGAGGUCCGAACCCACGCACGUUGAAAAGUGCGGGGAUGAGGUGUGGGUAGCGGAGAAAUUCCAAUCGAACUUGGAGAUAGCUGGUUCUCUCCGAAAUAGCUUUAGGGCUAGCCUCGAGGUAAAGAGUCAUGGAGGUAGAGCACUGUUUGGACUAGGGGCCCUUCUCGGGUUACCGAAUUCAGAUAAAC